AUACGGAGGGGGCAAGCGUUGUUCGGAAUUACUGGGCGUAAAGCGCAUGCAGGCGGAUCGCUAAGUCGGGGGUGAAAGCCCGAGGCUCAACCUCGGAACUGCCUUCGAUACUGGCGAUCUUGAGUCCGGGAGAGGUGAGUGGAACUCCGAGUGUAGAGGUGAAAUUCGUAGAUAUUAGGAAGAACACCAGUGGCGAAGGCGGCUCACUGGCCCGGUACUGACGCUGAGGCGCGAAAGCGUGGGGAGCAAACAGGAUUAGAAACCCCAGUAGUCC
rnacentral:rRNA from 1 species